CAUCCUCCAAGGCUAAAUACUCCUGACUGACCGAUAGUGAACCAGUACCGUGAGGGAAAGGCGAAAAGAACCCCGGCGAGGGGAGUGAAAAAGAACCUGAAACCGUGUACGUACAAGCAGUGGGAGCACAGGUUUACCUGUGUGACUGCGUACCUUUUGUAUAAUGGGUCAGCGACUUAUAUUCUGUAGCAAGGUUAACCGUUGAA
rnacentral:rRNA from 1 species